UACGGAGGAUGCAAGCGUUAUCCGGAAUGAUUGGGCGUAAAGGGUGCGCAGGCGGGUUCAUAAGUCAGGGGUGAAAUCCCGAGGCUCAACCUCGGAACUGCCUUUGAUACUGUGGAUCUUGAGUCCGGAAGAGGUGAGUGGAACUGCGAGUGUAGAGGUGAAAUUCGUAGAUAUUCGCAAGAACACCGGUGGCGAAGGCGGCUCACUGGUCCGGAACUGACGCUGAGGCACGACAGCGUGGGGAGCAAACAGG
rnacentral:rRNA from 1 species